CGGCCUGAGAGGGUGACCGGCCACACUGGGACUGAGACACGGCCCAGACUCCUACGGGAGGCAGCAGUGGGGAAUAUUGGACAAUGGGCGAAAGCCUGAUCCAGCAACGCCGCGUGAGGGAUGACGGCCUUCGGGUUGUAAACCUCUUUCACCUCUGACGAAGCGCAAGUGACGGUAAGGGGAGAAGAAGGACCGGCCAACUACGUGCCAGCAGCCGCGGUAAUACGUAGGGUCCGAGCGUUGUCCGGAAUUAUUGGGCGUAAAGGGCUCGUAGGCGGUUUGUCGCGUCGGGAGUGAAAACCAGGUGCUUAACACCUGGCUUGCUUCCGAUACGGGCAGACUAGAGGUAUGCAGGGGAGAAUGGAAUUCCUGGUGUAGCGGUGAAAUGCGCAGAUAUCAGGAGGAACACCGGUGGCGAAGGCGGUUCUCUGGGCAUUACCUGACGCUGAGGAGCGAAAGUGUGGGGAGCGAACAGGAUUAGAUACCCUGGUAGUCCACACCGUAAACGUUGGGCGCUAGGUGUGGGAUCCAUUCCACGGGUUCCGUGCCGCAGCUAACGCAUUAAGCGCCCCGCCUGGGGAGUACGGCCGCAAGGCUA
rnacentral:rRNA from 1 species